UUAAGUUCAGCGGGUAUCCCUACCUGAUCCGAGGUCAACCGGUUAAGAAAUUGGUUACGACCAGCGCCGGCCGGGCCACGUUGAGCGGAGAAGAACCCCAUACGCUCGGGCACCAGUUCGGACGCCGCCACUGCCUUUCGGGCCCGUCCACGGGGGACGAGGCCCAACACACAAGCCGCGCUUGAAGGUUGCAAUGACGC
rnacentral:misc_RNA from 1 species